AUAGCUGAGUCCAGAGCACAAUGGCAGACGGACAAAGUUUGGAGACAAGUGAAAAACGGCCUAGUCAAAGAAAAUGAGCUCCUCUGUGUGAGGAGGCAAAGAAGAGCAAAAAGGAGAGUGAUAAAAGAAGAGGAAAACAAGAGUAAACCUCAGUCGGGCGUUCAAGAGAUGGAGGGAGCUCCGUGACCAAAGAGGCUUCAAAACCCAUGUCCAGCUAGCUUUCUUUCUAAUGGAUCAGUAAGUAACACGGCUAAAUGUUAGCUAGACCAGAGAGGACUGUUCUGUACUGGCUGCUAGUUCAUUCCUAGCUGGCCAACAUUGCAAAUCGCUGCAACCAGGGAGCGGGUAGCGAGUGUUGGUCGGCUGACAUCCUCGUUGCCAUUCUACGGCAGCCCUCGGACAGUGAUACCCCCCUCCCUUCCUUCUGUUCUCUUCUCACGGAGGCAGCUAUUGACGGACAUCGCCCAGCUAAGUCAACACUGAACUUUGUUUCCCAUUCAAUUUGAGCUCCAACAGGCCACACCGUUUUCAUAUGGUACCGUUUAUUCUAGAAUUCCAUGUGCAUAUUGGUAUAAUUCCACCGUGUCUACUGUUGUUUGUACUGAUACUGUACAUAUUGGUAUCAUUUACUGUGAGCUGUUUGUACUGGUACUGUGCAUUCUGCUAUAAUUAUUUGCAUUACUAUUUGUUUUUUCUUCAGAUAAAUCUGAUAAUUGUUGCUCGGUCUCUUUACUCAUUUAUUUAGGAGAGUGUCCACACACCUUCUCAUUCUACAUAUACAUAGAGGUAUACUGGAGGCUUUACAGCCUACAUUUUAUUGAUUAUCUCUGAUCCUCAUGCUCAAUUUGGUCGUUGCGACAGAGCGACGUAACACCACUGACGCUAGGUGGCGCCAAGCUGAAAGAGACCGAAAUCCGAUCUGUUGCCUCUUUAAGUACGUGUAACAGAGUAUACGUUGUGUUACUAAUGAACACUAAAUAAAAUUGAGCCAAAUUCAGUUUGAAUCACUGAAUUGUUGCUUUUUGACAUCUUUUUAUGUUGUGUCUGUUGUCUUUUAUCUCUCUCUGUUUUAUGUCCUUCUAUCUCUCCAGACUCUGUCAGGCUGGUGAAUGGGACCAGUCUGUGCUCAGGCAGACUGGAGGUGAGGUCUACCCAGUCUAAUCAGAGGUGGUCCUCAGUGUGUGAAGCUGUCUUUGACCAGCAGGAUGCAGAGGUGGUCUGUAGGGAGCUUGGCUGCAGGGCUCCUUCAGUCCUCCAGGGGGUGCUCUAUGGAGAAGUGGAGGCUCCAAUGUGGACCAAAGAGUUCCAGUGUGAAGGCAAUGAGUCUGCUCUCCUGGACUGUAGAAGCUCAGGCUCAGAUAGAAACUCCUGCUCAACUGGCAGAGCUGUUGGACUCACCUGCUCAGGAUCACAGCCAACAUCUCCAACACCUUACAUCAUCCGAGUGGUCGUCCUGCCGCUGACUCUGCUGUUGGUGAACACUGCCCUUUAAUUCUACUGUAAGGCCAGCAGGGGGCAGCAGGCGGGCAGACAGGAGAACAUUGAGCUGGAUUAUAGAGUGCCCCAGAAAUGAGUCCUAAAGCCCAGAAAUCGUUAGCAUUUUGCACCACUGGUUCCCUCGUCUCAAAGUCAGUGGGUUUUUUGAAGAAAGUUUUGGAAAGAUGCUCGACAGAAGGUUAACACAAACCUAAAAGACUUUCACGUUUUGUUCUAUGACAUAAAAUACGUCAGUAAAAACCUCAUACAUGCAUUUUAAAGGUGGCUGCUAACAAGUGGCUAAAUGAGACCACAGCAUAUCAUCACACUGAACACAGCUUUACAGCCUUGUGAUGGUCGAAAUGUUCAGUCAUGUGACUGUGGUGCAGUACAUUUAUAGUCUAACCUUAGCCCAUUUAUGUAGCCUAGUAAGACCAUCCUGAUGAGCUCAACGUUCUGUUUCAAUCUCUGUGCAAGUCUGGCUUUACAGAGAGCAACACUUUGCAGGAAUUGCAAUCCAAUCCGGACAAUCAGGGAUCACAAUAGUUGACCAUGUAAACUGCCAAUUGGAGACUGCAUGAUGAUGUCAAAUGCAGGCAGUUACUUGCAGAGCAGUAGUGGCGGCUCUCAAAGCAGCAAGCACUAAGUCUAACUUUAGUAGAGUAAAAAGAGCAAUAAGGGAAAUAAUGUAGAAAUAGAGUCAAUAACAGCAAGACCAAGAGUACGCACUCACAGAGAUUCUCAGAGGAAAAUACGAUUUCACUGUUCUUCCGACAAAUUUGUGUUUCUGUCAGAGGAGUCUGGUGACUGUUGAUGAGGGCAAUAGCUAAACAUAUUUUAGCCACAUAAAAAUAUGACUACCUUAAACACAGCAACAUGAGUUUAAGUGUACGCUAUAUUUAGAUAUUUUCACAGCUUUACCUUGCUGUCAGAUAGCCCUUUACAACUUGAAACUGAUGCCUCAUCGUUAUGCUCUCCUCAAAGCCACCAGACUCCACUGAUAGCAGCAGUGAUCUUCCAUUGCCCCAAGAUUGGGAAGUUACUUUGGGUUAUUGUAUGACUUUGGGAACCGAUCUAACCAUGCCACUACUCUUGUCUACUUGUCUAAACUGGGAGUGUAAGAUUGAUUAACAUAAUUUUUAAUGAACACUCAGUCACAAAGGAUGCUCAGUGGCAUCGUCCCCGCUGGCUGCCAUGCGCCUGUCCCAGGUGCCUGCACAGUGCUGCUGCACAAGGAGCCGUGGAUUGUGAUUACUCUGCACAGCAUGCAUGGCGAUGAAAUAUAUGUGAAUACAUUUCUUGCUUUUACCAUGGUUACUCACCAUGGUAAAAGCUGUAGCUGUUGCUACACUAUUCCCCGGUACAAAUCCAGUGGUCAUACUUGUUUCACCACUAAUUGGCUGAAGUUUGUCAAUCAGGGUGAGUACUCCCACCCACUGAAAGUGUGUUCAGCAGCAGUGGGGCCUGAUACAGACUGAUACAGAAAGCCAAACAGAAUAUCAAGCUCACAUCAUCAGGAUGGUCUUACUGGGCUAGCAUUUAAGCUUCAAAGAUAAUGAAACAGGUGUUCAUUUGUGAAGAUUAUCUUGCUGAACAAAACCAAUCAAAAAUCCAAUGGAAAAAUCACACUGGCUUUUUGACGAAGGAACCACGGUGACGUUGACUUCCGUGUCAGCUAUAGUAAAACAUCAUCCCUGGAGCACUCUGUUAUAACCCGGAUGUCUCUGCAGCUGAAGGAGGGCCAGCUGAAGAGGAAGGAGCUCAAGAAGUGGAGUAACACCUUCAAGAAGCUUAUCUAAAUUACAUUUUAUACACAUUUUCCAUUUAAACAAGGUUAGAAUUAGUGUACUACAUUACAUACUAUACUUUUCUAACUGUCAACAUGAACAGACCAAACCAAUUUGUUAGUCUCUUCAUACAUUCUGACUUCCUGUCUGUGGCUCUCAGCUCCAAGCCCACUGGUUUCUACUGAGUGCGUAAAUCUUUAAAAACACCUCACAAAUAUAAUGUUUCAUUUGAAAAGCAGACUUGUAAGCAAGUGUACCGGAGUCCAAGCAGCCAGCGCAUUUUGAAACCAAAGACACACCAACCCAGACCAACUGGGAGUAAUGUUGGCCAAAUAAUGUUAUACAGGAAAAUCCAGGUAAAGCAACAAUAAAUAUGUGUAAAGAGUUUGUCACAUCACAGAAAAAUGUGUUAUGACCCACCAAACCAAAUUCGAAUGAUUAAAAAAAUUGCCAAGUAUAUAAUAUAUCAAAAUUGUGAAAAAAUGAGCCCUAUUCUCUGAUCUGAGACGCUGGUGUCAUGUCUGCUGAGCUGAAACAAACAUUGAGCUGCUUCAAAACGACAAAACACUCAUUAGGAGCUAAGCCAAUAGCACACUAACAUACAUGACCCCUGAGCAAAAGAAGGAGCCACUCUGCUGCAACAGCCUCUCGUUCAGCAGCUAACAGCGUCUAACAUUGACACAAAGGUGGCCGCUUUGUGUACAUGAGUGACGGCUACUUUUCUUGUGUUCAUAUGAUUGUGGCAUUUAACAGAAAUCUUUAUUUAUUUAUUUCUUUAUCUGGAUUUAAGAGCUCAGAGAGCUCAUAGAACGUGGCAAACUGACUGUAACAACACAGAUGCUAUGUGCUGGGCUCAAGAUUAACAUUGGUAGAAACGUAGUAUUUAUAUAGUAGGGGAGGGGUUAUGAUAAGGAUGGCCCUAGUGGGUCAUCAAAUAUGCUUUUAGGCCGGCCCAAAAAAUCCUGGACACAGAAAUGGUGAAAACCUGUUUAAUGGUCAAACUCCACAAUUAUAGUACCACACAGGUCCCAGUCUUUUCAUGUUUUCAACAAACAUUUUCUAACAUGUUUAAUUUGUUUAUAAGGAAACCACUGAUUUUACUUAACCCAACUUUAUAUAAACUAAACAUAAAACAUAUCCUUUAAAAUCUGAAUUACAGCCUUGAUUCCAAAAAAGUUGGGGGCUGUGUAUGACUUAAAUAACAACAGAAUGCAAUGAUCUGCAAAUACUUCUAGACCUAUAUUCAAUUAAUUACAGUCCAAAGACAAGAUCUUUAAUGUUCAAACUGAUAAACUUUGUCUUUUUGUAAAUAAACGCUCAUUCUGAAUUUGAUGCCUGCAACACGUUCCAAAAAAGUUAGGAUAGGAGCAUGUUUACUACCAUGUGACAUCACCUUUUCUUUCAAUAACACUCAGUAAGCGUUUGGGAAUUGAGGACACUAAUUCUUGAUGUUUUGAAAGUUAAAUUCUUUCACAUUCUUGGUUUAUAUACGAAUUCCGUCCACUGUCUCAAUAAUGCACCACGCAUUUUUAAUAGGAGACGUAGUCUAGAUGGCAGCAUAUGUUGCUCCAUGUGUUACCCAUGAUGCCACGGACACUAAAACACCUUCAUACCAUCACAGAUGCUGGUAUUUGGAUUUUGCGCUGGUAACAAUCUGGAUGGUCCUUCUCCUCUUUAGCCCGGAGGACACAACAUCCAUGAUGGACUCGUCAGACCACAGCACACUUUUUCCACUUAAUGUCAGUCCAUCUCAGAUGAGCUCAGGCUAGGAGAAGUUGGUGGUGUUACAUUUGUUGUUGCAUUUGUAGAUGCAGCAACUAAGUGUUUUUUCCGAAUUCAUGUAGUAUUAUCCUUUAUAGAAUCGUGUUGGGUUUUAAUGCAGUGUGGUCUGAGGGGCCAAAGGUCAUAGGCAUUCAGUGUUGGUUUUCAGCCUUGCCCCUUAUGUGCACAGAUUUCUCUGGAUUCUCUGAAUCUUUUGAUAAUAUUAUGGAUUCUAGAUGGUCAAAUCAUUAAAUUACUUGUAGAUGUACAAUGAGAAACGUUCUUGACCAAUGCAGUUUUUCACAAAGUGACCAUGCUUGCUUGUGAACACCAAACAUUCUGAGAAUACUCACAGAGAGCUCCUAACUUAGCCUAAAAACUUUUAGUAAGGAGUGAUUUAGGAAAGUUCUCAGAAUAACUCUGAGCAAGGAAGAGACAGCAACUUUUAUCUUAGUGAGGAGGUGUGGUUGGCCCAGUUGCUAGGUAUGAUGCAUUCUUUUGACAGAUGUGAUUGGUUGUCACAGUCACACCCUUUAGUGAGCCUGCAAGGUGUGGACACCCAGUGGAAAUGAAAUGAACUGCGUGACAUACCCAUUCGUGAUACUUUAAUAUGUUACCAACUGACCAGUUUACCUGUGCAUUCUUCAGUUUGAACUUUAAAUAUGUGGUUUCUAUAUUGUGUUAAACUAAAUACAGGAUUUGCAAAUCAUUGCAUUCUGUUUCUAUUUAUGUUGUUAAGAGUGUCCCAAUUUUUUUUGGAACCAGAGUUAUAAAACACUCAAUGUGCAAAUCAAAUUUGGUUAAAUUUGACCAAUUGAAUCCACAGAAAACAAGAACAAUGUGGUACAGAACCAUCUAUUGUUGGGUCUGUAGAUCUGGAGCAGCUCCAGGCUUAGUGAACCACAUGUGGUGCAAUGUUGACAAUCUAUUGGUGUUUGUGAUUUAAAAAAAAAAAAAAAGAAGAAGAAGAAGAAGCCACAUAGCUAGCUAACAAGGUACAAGAUUAAAAAUCAGUGGCUUAUUUAGUUUUUCUACUGCAAAAUUUUACUUUGAUUAGUAAUUAAAGUAUAUGCCUAUUUCAUAAUAAUUUUACUAAAUGUUGUACUCAAGGAAUUUUCUUAUUCUGACUUAUUUCUCUCAUUAAGAAUUUUGAUUAUUUUUUAAUUUACUUACUUUUGUGUCGGAGAAUUUGGGUUAUUUUUUAGAGUUAAGGAAAUGUCUUGUUAUGUCUUUACUUAAUUUUGCAAUUAAGAAAUUUUGUCAUUUUAUAAUUUAAAGAAUUAAAGAUUUUUUUCUUAUUUGGUAUAAUUCAGGAUUUUGCUUGUUUUUAGAGUUAAGGUGAGACACUACAGGUGAAUAGGAUAAAACUUACAUUAAGACAGGUAUUUUUUUGCAUUGCAAGUUUACUAAAAUUUUCUGUGUAAAUAUGCAAUGGGGGAAAUAAUUAAUUAUACAUGCAUUAAUUCACAUGAAUUACCAGAACAGAAAUCUUAAAAUUGGAUAAAGGUUUGUUUGUUUUUUAGUUUUAUUUUGGUACCAUAAUAAAAGUCACAGUUUUUAUAGGUGGGAUUUUGGAUAUCAAUCAGAAAUUUCUGUCAUGUUUUUAGGAAUUAAAUGUUCUAUAUCAGGCUAUGAAUGGGAUAUGAACAAACCCCGUGUAAAAACCUUCAGAAUAUAGAUAGGAGUAAAACUGGAAAGUUUGGGUAAGUGCUAUUGAAGGGGAGAAUUCAGGCUCAGAGUUUGAGAAAAACUCAUUUUGAGAAAAUCAGUUAUAAAGAUAUGUAUUGUAAAAUUACCUACAUUUUUUGACCAAAAUUAAGACCCUACAGAUGAAUAGGGUAAGACUUUUAACUAAUAGAUAUCACCGUUAAACUUGCCCAGUUGGUUACUUUUUUUCAUUAUUAACAUUUAUUGCACUCAUUGAUGCUCAAGUGAAAAAGUAUGCCUGUCAUGCUUGCCAUCAAAAAAGGGCUUGAAACAUACAAUAUAAACAUCAGACAUAUCAAAGAGCUGGACUGAAAUUCAGAAGUCUCUUAGUUUAGAACAUCAAAGUGAUUAUCGUUAAUGCUGCUGAAUAUAAAAAAGUAGAAUGUAAACUUACAACUUUAGAAUAAAUGACACAGCAGUAAAACAGUUGACAUUUUAUUUCCUAUUAAUUCCUCAAAUUAAAAGUCUCACAUUACUUUGUCAUUUCAUAGCUUUUAUUGUGAAGCAGCCAAAAAAGAAAAUAUUGGGUCUUCAUCUGCAGAGACUUAACACGAAUCCUUUCCAUCUGAAAGUGAACAUGAAGCAGUAAAUUUAAUGUGGCACCAGCUGACGGGAAUAAUCCUGUUAAAUUGCUUUCUGAUCAUACAAGCCAAGUGAAAUGCUUUCCAGUGUUGUUUCCACAGGGACUUUAUACAUACCAUGAUACCAGAAAAGGAAAAGGGGGUCGUACAUCCCAAAAGGUAAACAGUGAUCUGUUGAAGAAUGAGGAAUCUUUAAAGAAGUUGUUGGAGUUUGAUGAUGGGUAUUGUUUCCUUAAAACUAUUAGAGGUACCCAAUCCUUUUGGCAGGGAGCACAGCGGGACCUGUUGGCUUGUGUUCAUCAGUUUGGUGUCCCUACCUGGCUCUGUUUGUUUUCCUCUGCUUAGAUGCAUUGGAAGAAUCUUCUCUGUAGUAUUUUAAAACAGGAAGGUAGAACACAGACGGUUGAAGACAUAGAGUGGAUGGACAGGUGUGACCUGCUGCAUCACAAUUCUGUCACUGCGGUUUAUCGUUUUUGAGGGAAGUACUGAUGUCUCUGUUGCAUCCAAUUGGUAAAAUUAAUGACUGCUUUCAUCAAGUGGAAUUUUAGCAGUGCAGUUCACAACAGAUGAAGAGGUAGUUCAAUUUAUUGAUAAAUCUGUAAUGUGAAUUACCAUCAGAUGAUGACACUUUAUUGGACAUUUUGUCAUAUCUGUGCAGCAGCAUUCAAAGCAACAUUCAAAAAUUUGUAAAAAGAAAAAAAUAAGUUUGGCGUCUCAAUUUUCCCAGGCCAGCAUCCACUAGGAAAUGUAUAUGUUGCGGUAAAUUAAGGUGCAGAUGAUUAGUAGACAAGACAGAUAAUUUAAAACAAUGUAUGUGUGCAAAUCAGAAUCACAAAGAUUCUACGUGGGCAGUGGAUGGCUAAAAUGAAACGAGUGUAAAUCACAUAUUUACUUUCUUUCAGGAGGGUGGGGGAUCCUGUGGGUAGAGGAAAAAUUUGAUAGCAACUGGGGUUGGCCCACCUCAGAUGAGUCAAUGUGUGAAUGCAGCAUGACAUGAAUGCAUAAGAGUGAGUGAAUCAUCGUCAUUUAGAAAUGAGAUCACAGACAUAUGAAUCAAAAUAUUUUUUGUUGUUUUUAAUAACUGUACAACCCUCCUGAAAGAGGAUGUUCUAUAGAAGCAUUAUGGUCCAAAAUCUCAAAAUUGACUGGUGCAUGAAAAUAUAUUUUCACCUGUAGUGUCUUGCUCUAGGGAUUUUGCUUUUCUUUUAUAUUUAAGCAUUUUGCUUUUUUUUGUAAUAAGAUUUUUCUUAAUUCUGUACUUAAGGAAUUUUCUUAUUUCAAAACAAUUUUGCUUAUUUUUGUAAUCAGAAAUUUUGCUUGUUGUUAAGAAUUGUGAUUAAUUUUAUGCUGUAAUUCAAUUUUGGGGUGAAGGAUUUUGCUUUUUUAGAAUUAAGGAAUUUUCUUUGUUCUUAAGAAUUGGCUUAAUUUUACUGUUUUUUACUGUUUUACUGUUUGUACUUAAAGGAGUUUGAAAAAAUUUCUUGAUGACUAAGCAAAGAGUCUGAACAUCUGAACAUGCAUGUAGCGGGAGCCUUUAGAGACCUUUAUGAUCUCUGAAGGAUCUCUGAAGAUUUUACAUGAGUAAAAAUGGGAGGAUUCAUUCUAUGUGAAGAUGAUGUCAUUUAAGGAUGUUUGCUUACAACCAAUUAAAGACAAUAUGACAACUUUUUUUAUGACAGUAAAAAGCAAAAUAUGUAUUUUGCACAGGGAAAUUCAGAACUAUUAUCAAUUAAGCAAAGUACAUUCAGGACUCAUGUUUGCUGGGAGGUUCAAUAUGUAGACAGAGGAAAUAAUUUGGAUCAUUGUAUAUAUAUGCAUCACUACCCUUUACUAUGUUCAAAGAAAAUAAAACCACUUUCACAAACUCUGAAACUGUGGCUGAGCUGAUUUUGAUUGAUUCAGAAGAAUUUCUUGUAUUUUAUCUCUUCAAAGAUUGGAAAUGGAAAAUGUUUUGUUUGCUUUCUCUGCUUGUGAGUGCUUUG